AGAGUUUGAUCAUGGCUCAGGACGAACGCUGGCGGCGUGCUUAACACAUGCAAGUCGAGCGGAAAGGCCCUUCGGGGUACUCGAGCGGCGAACGGGUGAGUAACACGUGGGCAACCUGCCCUUAGCUUCGGGAUAGCUCCGGGAAACCGGAAUUAAUACCGGAUAUGACCACGGCCGGCAUCGGCCACGGUGGAAAGUUUUUCGGCUAGGGAUGGACUCGCGGCCUAUCAGCUAGUUGGUGAGGUAACGGCCCACCAAGGCGACGACGGGUAGCCGGCCUGAGAGGGCGACCGGCCACACUGGGACUGAGACACGGCCCAGACUCCUACGGGAGGCAGCAGUGGGGAAUAUUGCGCAAUGGGCGAAAGCCUGACGCAGCGACGCCGCGUGGGGGAUGAAGGCCUUCGGAUUGUAAACCCCUUUCAGCAGGGACGAAGCGAAAGUGACGGUACCUGCAGAAGAAGCGCCGGCUAACUACGUGCCAGCAGCCGCGGUA
rnacentral:rRNA from 1 species